rnacentral:rRNA from 1 species
UACGUAGGGCGCAAGCGUUGUCCGGAAUUAUUGGGCGUAAAGAGCUCGUAGGCGGUUUGUCACGUCGGAUGUGAAAGCCCGGGGCUUAACUCCGGGUCUGCAUUCGAUACGGGCAGACUAGAGUGUGGUAGGGGAGAUCGGAAUUCCUGGUGUAGCGGUGAAAUGCGCAGAUAUCAGGAGGAACACCGGUGGCGAAGGCGGAUCUCUGGGCCAUUACUGACGCUGAGGAGCGAAAGCGUGGGGAGCGAACAGG